GUGAGUCAUCGAGUCUUUGAACGCAAAUGGCACUCUCUCGUGAGGGAGAGUAUGUCUGUUAGAGUAUUCGUAAACUCGUUUAAACUCGGUUGCAGUUUAGUCUUGUCCUCCUAGCGGUGUGUGUGCACCCAAUGGGUAACACCACAUAUGCAUGCAUGGCUAGCUGGACUGAAUGGAAAUGUCAUAAGGGAUGUACACGUGAAUGUCUCUCUAUGUGCUAAUAGCAAUCAUAGUAGACGGCCACUACACUCUAUUCCAUCAUUCUAAUGAAUCUCUAAUCAGCAAGAGUACCCGCUGAACUUAAGCAUAUCAAUAAGGCGAGG
rnacentral:rRNA from 1 species